rnacentral:rRNA from 1 species
UGACCGCUGGCGGCGUGCCUAAUACAUGCCAGUCGAGCGAACAGACGAGGAGCUUGCUCCUUUGACGUUAGCGGCGGACGGGUGAGUAACACGUGGAUAACCUACCUAUAAGACUGGGAUAACUUCGGGAAACCGGAGCUAAUACCGGAUAACAUGUUGAACCGCAUGGUUCACCAGUGAAAGACGGUCUUGCUGUCACUUAUAGAUUGAUCCGCGCCGCAUUAGCUAGUUGGUAAGGUAACGGCUUACCAAGGCAACGAUGCGUAGCCGACCUGAGAGGGUGAUCGGCCACACUGGAACUGAGACACGGUCCAGACUCCUACGGGAGGCAGCAGUAGGGAAUCUUCCGCAAUGGGCGAAAGCCUGACGGAGCAACGCCGCGUGAGUGAAGAAGGUCUUCGGAUCGUAAAACUCUGUUAUUAGGGAAGAACAAAUGUGUAAGUAACUAUGCACGUCUUGACGGUACCUAAUCAGAAAGCCACGGCUAACUACGUG